rnacentral:lncRNA from 1 species
GGACGAACACAAGGACACUCGAAACUAAGGAUAGAUAUGAACCUAACGGUACGUCUGAAGCUUUGAUUAACAUUUGAGGAGAACAAGUGUGGCCCGAUCUUCCGAAAGGUUCUAGUAACUAUCAAUUUUGUGGAAACGAGACCCAAAUCAAUCCAUCUUGCGAACAACACGGUUCGAAACUAUGCAAUUUUUUUUUUGAUAUUUUUCUUUUACUUAGGAGCACUCAAGAAGUAACCAUAGGAAAUUUGAGCUUAAACAAGUGAAAGACUUGGCCUGUGAAAUUUUUUGAAGAUUACGAAGAAUAUAAAAAAACUUUAGGAGGUGAAAACUCAAACUUCAGGGGCGAAUUUGGGGAUUCUAAAAUUAUCGAACCCACCUCUAGCAAAGAUAGACAGAUCCAAAAAUUUGUUCUGAUCGAUUUUGAUAUAUGGAACGUCAAUAUCGGAGUUCCUAUGCGAAAGUUAUGGCUGUUUUACGAACGGACUCUGAAUUAGAGGACAAAACGGUCCGGAAGUGGGAAAAUUUUACGGUGGUGGCUAUAAAUUGAUGGAAACGGUGGGAAAAAACACACAAACUGGACUCUAACAAGACCAAAUCAGUAACAAGACCUCGACCAGGACACAAACUCAACACUACGGACUCUGAAACUGAAAUAUGCAAAGGUUAUGGCGCGGAUGGGUUGUAGGACAUGAAAACAAUUUGGCACUAGACUUAUGGGACGAACACAAGGACACUCGAAACUAAGGGUAGAUGUCAACCUAACGGUACGUCUGAAGCUUUGAUUACCACUUGAGGAGAACAAGGCCCGAUCUUCCGAAAGGUUCUGGUAACUAUCGAUUUGGUGGAAACGAGACACAAAUCAAUCCAGUUUGCGAACAACACGAUUCGAAACCUUGCAAUUCUUUUUUUUUUGAUAUUUUUCCUUUUACUUAGGAGCACUGAAGAAGUAACCACAAGAAAUUUGAGCUUAAACAAGUGAAGGACGUGGCCUGUGGAAUUUUUUGAAGAUUGCGAAAAAUAUGAAAAUAAAGUUUAGGAGGUGAAAACUCAAAUUUUCAGAGGCGAGUUUAGGAAUUCUAAAUUUGUCGCACCCGCCUAUGGCAGGGAUAGACAGAUCCAAAAAUUUUUCUGAUCGAUUUUGAUAUAUGGAACGUCAAAAUCGGAGUUCGUAGGCGAAAGUUAUGGCUCUUUUACGAACGGACUCAGAAUUAGAGGACAAAACGGUCCGGAAGUGGGAAAAAUUUGCGGUGGCGGCUAGAAAUUGAUGGAAACGGUGGGAAAAACACACAAACUGGACUCUAACAAGACCAAAUUAGUAACAAGACCUCGACCAGGACACAAACUCAACACUACGGACUAUGAAACGGAAAUAUGCAAAGGUUAUGGCGCGGAUGGGUUGUAGGACAUGAAAACAAUUUGGCACUAGACUUAUGGGACGAACACAAGGACACUCGAAACUAAGGGUAGAUGUGAACCUAACGGUACGUCUGAAGCUUUGAUUACCACUUGAGGAGAACAAGGCCCGAUCUUCCGAAAGGGUCUGGUAACUAUCGAUUUGGUGGAAACGAGACACAAAUUAAUCCAGUUUGCGAACAACACGAUUCGAAACCCGGCAAUUCUUUUUAUUUUUUUUGAUAUUUUUCUUUUACUUAGGAGCACUCAAGAAGUAACCACAAGAAAUUUGAGCUUAAACAAGUGAAGGACGUGGCCUGUGGAAUUUUUUGAAGAUUGCGAAAAAUAUGAAAAUAAAGUUUAGGAGGUGAAAACUCAAAUUUUUCAGAGGCGAGUUUGGGAAUUCUAAAUUUGUCGCACCCGCCUAUGGUGGGGAUAGACAGAUCCAAAAAAUUUUCUGAUCGAUUUUGAUAUAUGGAACGUCAAAAUCAGAGUUCGUAGGCCAAAGUUAUGGCUGUUUUACGAACGGACUCUGAAUUAGAGGACAAAACGGUCCGGAAGUGGGAAAAUUUUACGGUGGUGGCUAUAAAUUGAUGGAAACGGUGGGAAGAAACACACAAAUUGGACUCUAACAAGACCUAACCAGUAACAAGAUCUCGACCAGGACACAAACUCAACACUACGGACUCUGAAACUGAAAUAUGCAAAGGCUAUGGCGCGGAUGGGUUGUAGGACAUGAAAACAAUAUAGCACUAGACUUAUGGGACGAACACAAGGACACUCGAAACUAAGGAUAGAUAUGAACCUAACGGUACGUCUGAAGCUUUGAUUAACACUUGAGGAGAACAAGUAUGGCCCGAUCUUCCGAAACGUUCUAGUAACUAUCAAUUUGGUGGAAACGAGACCCAAAUCAAUCCAUCUUGCGAACAACGCGGUUCGAAACCCUGCAAAUCUUUUUAUUUAUUUUUUUUGAUAUUUUUAUUUUACUUAGGAGCACUCAAGAAGUAACCAUAGAAAUUUUGAGCUUAAACAAGUGAAAGACUUGGCCUGUGGAAUUUUUUGAAGAUUGCGAAAAAUAAAAAAAACUUUAGGAGGUGAAAACUCAAAUUUCAGGGGCGAAUUUGGGGAUUCUAAAAUUAUCGAACCCACCUCUAGCGGAGAUAGACAGAUCCAAAAAUUUGUUCUGAUCGAUUAUGAUAUAUGGAACGUCA